rnacentral:rRNA from 1 species
UACAGAGGGUGCGAGCGUUAAUCGGAAUCACUGGGCGUAAAGGGUGCGUAGGUGGUCAAAUAAGUCAGAUGUGAAAUCCCUGGGCUCAACCUAGGCAUUGCAUUUGGUACUGUUUGGCUAGAGUGCAGUAGAGGAAUGUGGAAUUUCCGGUGUAGCGGUGAAAUGCGUAGAUAUCGGAAGGAACAUCAGUGGCGAAGGCGACAUUCUGGACUGUAACUGGCACUGAGGCACGAAAGCGUGGGGAGCGAACAGG